ensembl:lncRNA novel transcript
GGGCAUCGGCCCCUGCGGAGGAGUUCACCGCCUCCCCACGGGUGAUUUCUUAUCCGCCCCGGAUACGUCCUGGGAAACAGGACACGGGAAGAAUGGGUGUUCUGUGGGCAAAGAUGAGGCUUUGGUAUCAGGAUGAUGCUGGCCUCAUAAAAUGAGUUACGAAGGAUUCCCUCUUUUUCUAUUGAUUGGAAUAGUUUCAGAAGGAAUGGUAACAGCUCCUCCUUGUACCUCUGGUAGAAUUUGGCUGUGAAUCCAUCUGAUCCUGGACUUUUUUUGAACCCAAUACAUGUAGCAAUAAUGAUGGUAUUGACAAUAUUAACCUCCACAACAACCUUAAUGACAACAUGAAGGCAGAGAUCUGAUGGGGUGCACUGAAAACAGAAGAAUCUCUUCAUUUUGACCGGAGAUGUCUGUGGCUUACUAGAAAAGAUUUUUGGCCACUUUGGAAAAACUAGAAGAUUGGCAAUAAUUGACGGAGUAUGUGCGUUCCAGGUCAUUGCAGUUUGCCAACCUUACCCCAUGUACUCCUGCUCUCUCAGACCUGACCUUGCCACUCCUCUCAUUCUUGGAACACUGCUAUUACUACAUGAAGAUUCACAUUCCAGCCCAUCUUCCCUCAUCUAGCACAGUCCUGAGAGACCUGGCCCGUCUUGAUCCCUUCCUUUUCUAAUGCGUUCCUGGGAAACCAGGUUAGUUCUGGGACUGCCCUGAUCCAGUAUCUUCCUCAUACCUGAGCAAGUGCAGCCUCUUCCUUCAGCUGUAAUUUUCAUAAAUGCACCAACAAAUGAAUUAAUGAACAAAUGGUAUUUCUGUUACUCGUUGUCUGAUGUUCCACACUGCACAAUGUAGCAUGUAAUCCCUAAAGAUCCACUCUUAUGCCUAACCCUCCUUUGGGACCCAAGGAAAUGCUGCUUCCAGCCUCUUGUCUUGUGUCCUUUGGAACAAAAGGCAGUUGCAUCCAUGAUGGUUUGUGGAUUGCACCACCACCGGAGAUGGACACUGCUUCCGAGGAUUAGAGUGGUAGAAGUGCUUAGGUAAGAGAAAAGACAAGUUACUUGGACAUGUUAACAUGUCAAGUUCUUCCUCUUACUAUUAUUCCUAGUUGUGUGGAAAAUCCGUUUUGUUGCUUCUCUUUGUGUGUCAAUCUGUGGGUCUGAAAGCCUUCAAUUAAGAUAGUAUUUGCAAUAGUUGCACAUGGCAACGGAGUAAUACUUGAAAUAUUAAAGAAUUCAUGUUGUGGUCCAAUAUGGUAACCUUAGCCACGUGUGACUUUUGGGCACCUGAAAUGUGUCCAGCUGAGAAGUGUUAUAAUUGUAAAAUAUACUUUUGUGUGUUUUUCAAUUUUGAAGACAGUAUAAAAAAAUGCAAAAAAUUUUAAUAUAUAGAUUAAAUAAAAUAUAUUAAAAUAAAUACUAACAAUAUGUUAAUGUUUUCUUUUAAAUUUUUCUAAUGUGGAAGAACUUUUAAUGUAAAAAAUUUAGAAGUUGUAUAUGUGGCUUGCACUGUAUCUAUUGGACAAUGCUGAUCUAGCUAUGACAUAUAUAAAAUGUGAUAUUGAUUCUUAUAUUGAAAACUAGAUGAACAUUUAAUGCUAGAAUUGUGAAUAGUUUUAUUUUUAUGAAA